UUUUUUUCUUUUGAUUUGGUUUCUGACUCUAAGAAGAUUGGAUGUAUCGUCUGAAAUGUUUUACAAAAAGGGGACAUGCGGCUUUGUUGGAAAGAAACCAAUUUGUUGUGAAGGUUUCAGAUGGAAUAUAACGGAGGAAACAUGUCAAGAAUGUAAACCGGGAUACUAUAAGCAUAAUUGUUCCACUCAAUGUCCUUAUCCUGCAUAUGGUGAAAAAUGUCAGCAGAAGUGCAUCUGUAAUAAAUCAUCAUGUAACUUCAUGAAAGGAUGCAUCAUAUUUGGUAAUACAUUCUUUAUCUUUUUAUGAUAUUUCAUAACUACAUCAUAAGUAAUCAACAGGUUCAACACAUUUCCUUUAUACUUAAUUAGACUCUCCGCUGACUUUUUGUCCCCAAAUGUACAAUUUUGAGGAUUAUUCAGACUGUUUGAUUUGACUUUGGACAGCUAUGCGCACCAAUUUGUUGCUUUUACCGUUGAAAUUUUUGAU